CGGAAUGUAGCUCAGCUUGGUAGAGCACUUGGUUUGGGACCAAGGGGUCGUAGGUUCGAAUCCUGUCAUUCCGACCA
rnacentral:tRNA from 49 species